rnacentral:lncRNA from 1 species
AUGAGUGAAAGCUCCCUGAGGACUUCCAAGAAGCAGAUGCCGCUAUGUUUCUUGUACAGUCUGCAGAACCGAAUAAGAAAUCAUCAACCCAAUGUGGAUGGAUAUACACUCUCUCAAAAAGAUUAUACAACCCAGCGUCCUUGUGCUGCCAAAUUCAGAGUCUUCAAGCUGACCUGGAAGCCUUCCUGCCACUCUUGCACUGCUGAGAUGGAACCAGGUCAGCCCGUGGCUUUGGAAGAAGCUGCUUGACUAAGGAAAGGAGAGCAUGUUGAGAAGGAGGCAGGAGAAGCAUGAAGAAAAAGAGCAUAGGAACAGUAGAGGCUUUGCAGGAAUUUUGAGAAGAAUCAAACUCUUCCUAUCUUGACUAUCAGCCUCCAAAGAGAAAGCCAAAAAAACAAAAUCUAUGUUAAUGUAUUUUCUGCUUCAUAAAGCAUCAGUCUCAAGGGGAAAAUGCAGAGUGGAUUACAUAGCCUCCUCAAGACAUUUCUUUGUUUGUUUGUUUUCUUUUCUUUUUUUUUUUUUUUUUUUUUUUUGGCAGAGCUACUAGCUGAGGUUUUGUUUUGGACAAAAAAAAGGAAUUGAAUUGUUUUGCAGCUGGAGGCAUGGGCAAAGGGGUCCCCAGGCAGUAGACUCCUCUGCAGGUGGGCCGAGGGCUAGGGCUGAGCCUCAGGUGGGUCUUCUGUUCUCCGAGCUCCCCUGCACAGCAGCCUCCCUCCCAGGCUCUCGGCAGUCUCAGGAACUGCAACAGCAGCCAUGCAUUUGGACAGGACAUCAGAGGACUCGGACACCAGCCUCUCAUCGCAGGUCUCAAUCUUCUUCACAACCACGGCCUUGGUGGUGCUGGUGAGGCCAAACGAGCAGGAGCCUGCAUCAGAGCCAAAGCUGGAACCCAAGCCAUAGCUGAGGCCAGGGCUUGUGAGGCCCCCAUACGCUGAGCUCAGACCACCUGCAUAGCCGCUGGUGGUCUUCGUAUGGAUACUCAUGUUCUGCAUCCCAGACUCCAGCUGGCUCUCCUCACCCUCCAGCAGCUUCCUGUAGGUGAUGAUCUCAAUGUCCAGGGCUAGCUUGACGUUCAUCAGCUCCUGGUACUCACACAGCUACUGCACCAUGUCCCGCUUAGCCUGCUGUAGGGUGGCCUCCAACUCAGGCAGCUUGGUGUUGGCA